AGUGAACGCUGGCGGUAGGCCUAACACAUGCAAGUCGAACGGCAGCACAGUAAGAGCUUGCUCUUACGGGUGGCGAGUGGCGGACGGGUGAGGAAUACAUCGGAAUCUACUUUUUCGUGGGGGAUAACGUAGGGAAACUUACGCUAAUACCGCAUACGACCUACGGGUGAAAGCAGGGGAUCUUCGGACCUUGCGCGAUUGAAUGAGCCGAUGUGGGAUUAGCUAGUUGGCGGGGUAAAGGCCCACCAAGGCGACGAUCCGUAGCUGGUCUGAGAGGAUGAUCAGCCACACUGGAACUGAGACGGGGUCCAGACUCCUACGGGAGGCAGCAGUGGGGAAUAUUGGACAAUGGUCGCAAGCCUGAUCCAGCCAUACCGCGUGGGUGAAGAAGGCCUUCGGGUUGUAAAGCCCUUUUGUUGGGAAAGAAAAGCAGCAGGUUAAUACCCCGCUGUUCUGACGGUACCCAAAGAAUAAGCACCGGCUAACUUCGUG
rnacentral:rRNA from 1 species